ACCCGCAGCCAUAUCACCCUGUAGCCCAAGACUGGUUGCCCACUGAAGCUAAGCAGGGUUGAGUCUGGUCAGUCCCUGGAUAGGAGACCUCCUGGGAAAACUAGGUUGCUGCUGGAA
rnacentral:rRNA from 1 species